rnacentral:rRNA from 1 species
UCCCAGACUCCUACGGGAGGCAGCAGUGGGGGAUAUUGCACAAUGGGGGGAACCCUGAUGCAGCGACGCCGCGUGGGUGAAGGAGCGUUUCGGCGCGUAAAGCCCUAUCGGCAGGGAAGAAGGAGGACGGUACCUGACUAAGAAGCCCCGGCUAACUACGUGCCAGCAGCCGCGGGAAUACGUAGGGGGCAAGCGUUAUCCGGAUUUACUGGGUGUAAAGGGGGCGCAGACGGCUGUGCAAGCCAGAUGUGAAAGCCCGGGGCUCAACCCCGGGACUGCAUUUGGAACUGUGUGGCUGGAGUGUCGGAGAGGCAGGCGGAAUUCCUGGUGUAGCGGUGAAAUGCGUAGAUAUCAGGAGGAACACCGGCGGCGAAGGCGGCCUGCUGGACCGCGACUGACGUUGAGGCUCGAAAGCGUGGGGAGCGAACAGGAUUAGAUACCCGAGUAA